rnacentral:rRNA from 1 species
UACGUAGGGGGCAAGCGUUGUCCGGAAUUAUUGGGCGUAAAGGGUGCGUAGGCGGCCUUUUAAGUCAGAUGUGAAAGCCCACGGCUUAACCGUGGGACUGCAUUUGAAACUGGAGGGCUUGAGUAUCGGAGAGGGUAGUGGAAUUCCCAGUGUAGCGGUGGAAUGCGUAGAUAUUGGGAGGAACACCAGUGGCGAAGGCGACUACCUGGACGAAAACUGACGCUGAGGCACGAAAGCUAGGGGAGCAAACAGGAUUAGAUACCCUGGUAGUCCUAGCCGUAAACGAUGGGUACUAGGUGUAGGAGGUUUCGAUACCUUCUGUGCCGCAGUUAACGCAAUAAGUACCCCGCCUGGGGAGUACGUGCGCAAGCAUGAA